rnacentral:rRNA from 1 species
UUGGAGGGCAAGUCUGGUGCCAGCAGCCGCGGUAAUUCCAGCUCCAAUAGCGUAUAUUAAAGUUGUUGCAGUUAAAAAGCUCGUAGUUGAAUUUCGGGGUUCUACCGUUGGUCGGGCUAUUGUCUGUACUGGCGUGUAGAAUUUCUACCUUCUGGGGAACUAUCAUGUUAUUAAUUUAGCGUGGUAGGAAACCAGGACCUUUACCUUGAAAAAAUUAGAGUGUUCAAAGCAGGCUUAUGUCUGAAUACAUUAGCAUGGAAUAAUAAAAUAGGACGGUGGUCCUGUCUUGUUGGUUUCUGAAUCACCGUAAUGAUUAAUAGGGAUAGUUGGGGGCAUUAGUAUUCAAUUGUCAGAGGUGAAAUUCUUGGAUUUAUUGAAGACUAACUACUGCGAAAGCAUUUGCCAAGGACGUUUUCAUUAAUCAAGAACGAAAGUUAGGGGAUCGAAGACGAUCAGAUACCGUCGUAGUCUUAACCAUAAACUAUGCCGACUAGGGAUCGGACGAUGUUAACUUUUCUUGACUCGUUCGGCGCCUUACGGGAAA